rnacentral:rRNA from 1 species
AUGUUUAAGCACAAGCCGAUUAAUGGUGAAGCCGCGGACAGCUCAUUAAUACACUCCUAAUCCUAGCAAUGCUUACCAAUAUGGAUAUCUGUGCUAAUUGUAGAGCUAAUACACGCAGAAAAGCCCAAGUUUCUUGGGUGCAUUUAUUAGAACAAAACCAAUCGGGCUUGUCCCGUUUGUUGGUGAAUCUGAGUAAUUGUGCAGAUCGCAUGGUCCAGUACCGGCGACACAUUGCAGGAGGGAGUGCCUUAUCAACUUUCGAUGGUAGUUUAUGUGCCUACCAUGGUUAUCACGGGUAACGGAGAAUUAGGGUUCGACUCCGGAGAGGGAGCCUUAAAAACGGCUACCACAUCCAAGGAAGGCAGCAGGCGCGCAAAUUACACAAUGACAGCAAAAUGUUGAUGUAGUGACAAGAAAUAACGAGACGGUUCUCUAUGAGGCCCGUCAUCGGAAUGGGUACAACUUAAACCCUUUAACGAGGAUCAAUUGGAGGGCAAGUCUGGUGCCAGCAGCCGCGGUAAUUCCAGCUCCAAUAGCGUAUAUUAAAGUUGUUGCGGUUAAAAAGCUCGUAGUUGGAUCUGCGACCUUAGAGAGUGGUCCCCCACAGGGUGCGUACUGCUGCUCAGGGUCUUAUUUGUCAGUUUGUCUGUGGUGCCUUUAAACGGGUGUCACAGGUAGCUGACGCGUUUACUUUGAAAAAAUUAGAGUGCUCAAAGCAGGCGCUGUCGCCUGAAUAGUGGUGCAUGGAAUAAUGGAAUAGGAUCUCGGUUCUAUUUUGUUGGUUUUCGGAGCGCGAGAUAAUGAUUAAGAGGGACAGACGGGGGCAUUUGUAUUGCUGCGUUAGAGGUGAAAUUCUUGGAUCGCAGCAAGACAAACAACUGCGAAGGCAUUUGCCAAGAAUGUUUUCAUUAAUCAAGAACGAAAGUUAGAGGUUCGAAGGCGAUCAGAUACCGCCCUAGUUCUAACCGUAAACGAUGUCAACUAGCGAUCUGCCAGCGUUAAUGAUGACCUGGCAGGCAGCUUUCCGGAAACGAAAGUUUAUAGAUUCCGGGGGAAGUAUGGUUGCAAAGCUGAAACUUAAAGGAAUUGACGGAAGGGCACCACCAGGAGCGGAGCCUGCGGCUUAAUUUGACUCAACACGGGAAAACUCACCCGGCCCGGACACCGUAAGGAUUGACAGAUUGAGAGCUCUUUCUUGAUUCGGUGGGUGGUGGUGCAUGGCCGUUCUUAGUUGGUGGAGCGAUUUGUCUGGUUAAUUCCGAUAACGAACGAGACUCUGACUUACUAACUAGUGAACGUGAUCCUAGUGGUCCGUUUCACUUCUUAGAGGGACAAGCGGCAUUUAGCCGCACGAGAAUGAGCAAUAACAGGUCUGUGAUGCCCUUAGAUGUCCGGGGCUGCACGCGCGCUACACUGAAGGAAUCAGCGUGUUUUACCUUGUCUGAGAAGACUGGGUAACCGAUUGAAACUCUUUCGUGCUAGGGAUAGGGAAUUGCAAUUAGUUCCCUUGAACGAGGAAUUCCCAGUAAGUGUGAGUCAUAAGCUCGCGUUGAUUACGUCCCUGCCCUUUGUACACACCGCCCGUCGCUACUACCGACUGGCAAUUUCUUUGAGGCUCCCGGAAUGGCUUUGAAGGACCCUAACCGGUUCUUUAAUGCCAUGAAGUGAUCCGAAAAGGGAUUGCUGGAGGAAGU